GCUUACUGUGGGCCGGCGGGGGGGGUAAUAGUGAGGUGUCAGUUGUGUAUGGGGUUUAGUGGGGGUAAAGCGUGGGUUGGCGGGUCAGGAUGGCGGUCGUGAAAGCCCCGGGCUUAACCUGGGAACUGCGGCGGAAACUGCUGGGCUUGAGUGUGGUAGAGGAAGGUGGAAUUCCAGGUGUAGCGGUGAAAUGCGUAGAUAUCUGGAGGAACACCGAUGGCGAAGGCAGCCUUCUGGGCCACAACUGACGCUGAGGUACGAAAGCGUGGGUAGCAAACAGGAUUAGAUACCCUAGUAGUC
rnacentral:rRNA from 1 species